rnacentral:lncRNA from 1 species
UCCUCCCCACUUCCUAUGCAAGGAUUUGGCAUAAGAGACCCUUUCGCCAGCGAGAUGAGCGGUAUGAUACCUACUUGCCAGGGAGCGAGGUUUGCCCUUUCCCUUCCAGAAGCCCUUCUCGCAGCUCCUGGACUCAGCUCUGUGUCUUCUUGUCCAUAGCGAAGAGCUAUAUGACUCGCUCUUUACCUCAGUUUCUGUCUUUCAAAGAUUUGAAUCUGCUUCCUCCCAGAGUCAUCCUGCAGUAAGUUAGAGAAGUGCAGUCAAAUAAGAAGUGCUAAGGCUGGCCCCACGUAUUAUCCGUGGGCUGCUCCUGCUUGUUCCCCCCUGCCUCGGGCGCGACCCACCUCGGGGUAUCAGCGGCUCCUCUCCCCUGGGGCCGAAGCAGCUCUUUGCCACCCCAGCCCGACAUCGCUCCCCCGUGGCAGCUUGCUCCCUUCUGCGACACGCUGGCUUCAGCACGACAGCGACAGGAAUCUCGGUCUCUGACAUACUUUGUGUCAAAGCUUCCGAAACUGGGCUUCUUGUCAAAAUUUUUCUGCUGCUAGCACGCACGGGAAUGAAAGACAGCACAGCUAACCUAAAGAAAGCAAUGAUGCGCAGCUGCUUUACUGCCUCGUACAGACUUGUGCUGUGUGUUAACAUCUGGGACUCAUCACACUGUCCGGCAUUUCAACAAAGAUGAUGUCACCAGUGCCAAGUACUGACAAACAUGGCUACUGCAUAAAUCUAAAGAACUGAAACUCCAGACAAAUUAUGUUUAUGAUUAGAGACAAUUUGAGUUGUUUGCACUGUGAGUUUAAGUACAUUAAGCAUAGACUUUCUUUCCGGGGGGAAGAUACUGACUGAAAACUGUAAAAGUAGAAAUUCUUUUUUUCUCUAAGCGUUUGGAAGAGCUUUUGAUCUUCCAGUGUCUGUUACAACCUUGGGGAAGGUUAAGUUAACCCUUUGAACAAACAUUCCUACCAGCUUCCAAUUCACUUGAACAAAGUAACUUAAUCACCAGCUAAAUUGAGUUCAAACUGCUCUAGAGAACAUGAACUGACAUAGCUUAGCUCUGAUGACAAGGAAAUGAAAGAGAGUGAGUUUGUUGCUGACAUGUACCGAGGGGCCCAACUCUCAGUUCCUAUUUUGGAGGCACCAGAGAGUGUGAUUUUGCUGCACACAAAAGAAGUGGUGCAUGGUAUGCCAAGGUGCAAGUCG